GACGAACGCUGGCGGCGUGCUUAACACAUGCAAGUCGAACGCUGAAGCUCAGCUUGCUGGGUGGAUGAGUGGCGAACGGGUGAGUAACACGUGAGUAACCUGCCCUCUUCUUUGGGAUAACGCCCGGAAACGGGUGCUAAUACUGGAUAUUCACUGAUUCUCGCAUGGGGGUUGGUGGAAAGGUUUUUUCUGGUGGGGGAUGGGCUCGCGGCCUAUCAGCUUGUUGGUGGGGUGAUGGCCUACCAAGGCUUUGACGGGUAGCCGGCCUGAGAGGGUGACCGGUCACAUUGGGACUGGGAUACGGCCCAGACUCCUACGGGAGGCCGCAGUGGGGAAUAUUGCACAAUGGGCGAAAGCCUGAUGCAGCGACGCCGCGUGAGGGAUGGAGGCCUUCGGGUUGUAAACCUCUUUCGCUCAUGGUCAAGCCGCAGCUUUGGGUUGUGGUGAGGGUAGUGGGUAAAGAAGCGCCGGCUAACUACGUG
rnacentral:rRNA from 1 species